CAUGUGAAAGAGUUUUGAUGAAAUGCUGUUGGAUUCUGAUCAGUUUUGUGCAUCUAAGUGCUGUUACAAUGAAACUGCAUUCUUGAAAUGAGGCAUUUAAAACCACAAAUGUGAGGAAAAUGCUGUGUUUUUGUUGCAGUUUGUGUCCACUUCCAGGUGAACUGAGCCCCCUGAUGUCAGCGUGAUGGAUUGGAGGCCGUCGGUUCUUCAGCUGGAGCUCCCCCUGGUGGAACCCUGCAGCACCAAGAGGACGUCUGGGAGGGCCAGUCCCACGAGUUUCCACAGAAGAAGGAAAAGAAGAGCUGAGGGCGUCAGAGUCUGGAGUUACAGGGCAGAGGACGGAACGCCACCUCAAUGUUCUCCUCCAUGAUGAUGUCAAAGCGACACAUCAGAGGCCUGGAGGAGGGAAAGGAGAUUUGUUAAGACUUUACUGUAAAUAUUAAGAUGUAAAGCUUGAAUGCUCAGUUUGACCCUCUGCAUAUUUAUUUACUCAGUAUUUAAUCAAACAAGUGGCCUACACUGUAAAGCAAAGUUUUCUCUUUCAAGAAUUUGGAUUUGAUCUCGUGAAAUUACAGAUAAUAUUUGUAAAAGUCACGAAAAAAGUAAUCAUUUAAUAAUAUAAUAAAAUAAAAUUAUUGUUUUUACAGUUUUUAUUGUAACAGUAUUCAACUAUUUUCUAACAUUUUCUUUUUGUGUCACCUCUUGUUUUAUCUUAGUUUAUUCUAUUUGGCCUGAUCUUAGCUUAGCUCUUUUUUUUGUAUUUUUUUAGUGUUGACUAUUUAUGUGCAUUUAAUUGUUGUUUUUAUUCAUGCUGUGAAGCACUUUGUGGCUCUCUGUCUGUGAAAGGUGCUAUAUAAAUAAAAUUUACUUACUAGCUUA